rnacentral:rRNA from 1 species
UACGGAGGGGGCUAGCGUUGUUCGGAAUUACUGGGCGUAAAGCGCGUGUAGGCGGUUAUCCAAGUCGGGUGUGAAAGCCUUGAGCUCAACUCAAGAAAUGCACUCGGUACUGGGUGACUAGAGGACCGGAGAGGAUAGUGGAAUUCCCAGUGUAGUGGUGAAAUACGUAGAGAUUGGGAAGAACACCAGUGGCGAAGGCGGCUAUCUGGACGGUUUCUGACGCUAAGACGCGAAAGCGUGGGGAGCAAACGGG